UACAGAGGCCUCGAGCGUUAGGCGGAAUCACUGGGCUUAAAGCGUGUGUAGGCGGACUUCUAAGUACCUUGUGAAAUCCCACGGCUUACCCGUGGAACGGCUGGGUAUACUGGGAGUCUUGAGCCACCUAGGGGCGAGUGGAACAAAUGGUGGAGCGGUGAAAUGCGUAGAUAUCAUUUGGAACGCCAAUGGUGAAAACAGCAGGCUGGGGGUGUGCUGACGCUGAGACGCGAAAGCCAGGGGAGCGAACGGG
rnacentral:rRNA from 1 species